rnacentral:misc_RNA from 1 species
GUGAAUCAUCGAAUUUUUGAACGCAAAUUGCACUCUCUGGUAUUCCGGAGAGUAUGCCUGUUUGAGGAUCAGUUUAAAUAAAAAUCGGUGUGGUUGCUGCCUUUCCUUUUGAUGCACGGGAUAUGGGUCGUCUUGCCGUCGGUUAAGUGUCCUAAAUAUGUGUAUGUUUUUUUUCGAACGUAUUUAGAAGAUAUUA